UACGUAGGGUGCAAGCAUUAAUCGGAAUUAUUGGGCGUAAAGGGCGCGUAGGCGGAUCGAUAAGUCAGAUGUGAAAUACCAAGCUCAACUUUGGUGCUGCAUUUGAAACUAUCGUUCUAGAGGAUUGGCGGAGAAAGCGGAAUUCCACAUGUAGCGGUGAAAUGCGUAGAUAUCGGGAGGAACACCUAUGGCGAAGGCAGCUCGCUGGGACGUUACUGACGCUGAGACGCGAAAGCGUGGGGAGCAAACAGG
rnacentral:rRNA from 1 species